UACGUAGGGGGCAAGCGUUGUCCGGAUUUAUUGGGCGUAAAGCGCGUGUAGGCGGCCAGGUAGGUCGGUUGUGAAAAUUGGAGGCUCAACCUCCAGACGUCGAUCGAAACCAUCUGGCUAGAGUCCGGAAGAGGAGAAUGGAAUUCCUGGUGUAGCGGUGAAAUGCGCAGGAUAUCAGGAAGAACACCGAUGGCGAAGGCA
rnacentral:rRNA from 1 species